rnacentral:rRNA from 1 species
UACGGAGGGGGCUAGCGUUGUUCGGAAUUACUGGGCGUAAAGCGCGCGUAGGUGGUUUGUUAAGUUGGAUGUGAAAUCCCCGGGCUCAACCUGGGAACUGCAUCUGUGACUGUAUAGCUAGAGUACGGUAGAGGGGGAUGGAAUUCCGCGUGUAGCAGUGAAAUGCGUAGAUAUGCGGAGGAACACCGAUGGCGAAGGCAAUCCCCUGGACCUGUACUGACGCUCAUGCACGAAAGCGUGGGGAGCAAACAGG